UACACACGGAUAACAUACCGAAAGGUAUGCUAAUACGGGAUAAUAUAUUUGAGAGGCAUCUCUUGAAUAUCAAAGGUGAGCCAGUACAGGAUGGACCCGCGUCUGAUUAGCUAGUUGGUAAGGUAACGGCUUACCAAGGCGACGAUCAGUAGCCGACCUGAGAGGGUGAUCGGCCACAUUGGAACUGAGACACGGUCCAAACUCCUACGGGAGGCAGCAGUGGGGAAUAUUGCACAAUGGGCGAAAGCCUGAUGCAGCAACGCCGCGUGAGUGAUGAAGGCCUUCGGGUCGUAAAACUCUGUCCUCAAGGAAGAUAAUGACGGUACUUGAGGAGGAAGCCCCGGCUAACUACGUGCCAGCAGCCGCGGUAAUACGUAGGGGGCUAGCGUUAUCCGGAUUUACUGGGCGUAAAGGGUGCGUGGGCGGUCUUUCAAGUCAGGAGUGAAAGGCUACGGCUCAACCGUAGUAAGCUCUUGAAACUGGGAGACUUGAGUGCAGGAGAGGAGAGUGGAAUUCCUAGUGUAGCGGUGAAAUGCGUAGAUAUUAGGAGGAACACCAGUUGCGAAGGCGGCUCUCUGGACUGUAACUGACGCUGGGGCGCGAAAGCGUGGGGAGCAAACAGGAUUAGAUACCCUGGUAGUCCACGCUGUAAACGAUGAGUACUAGGUGUCGGGGGUUACCCCCUUCGGUGCCGCAG
rnacentral:rRNA from 1 species